GACACAAAAUAACACCCCAAAUUUUUUUUUUUUUCAUAAUAUGGGCACUUUAAAUAAAUGGAAUCCAUCGCUGCACAUACACAUCAAAAGACCCAUUUUGACACGAUAAUUCAUAAAAACAACACAGUCAGUUGAUUACCUUUUCAACACAGAAAAAAAAACUAAAACAAAUUU